rnacentral:rRNA from 1 species
AACGAACGCUGGCGGCAGGCUUAACACAUGCAAGUCGAGCGGGCGUUUUCGGGCGUCAGCGGCGGACGGGUUAGUAACGCGUGGGAACGUGCCCUUUGCUCUGGAAUAGCCCUGGGAAACCGGGGGUAAUACCGGAUGUGCCCUGAGGGGGAAAGGUUUUACCGGCAAGGGAUCGGCCCGCGUCUGAUUAGGUAGUUGGUGUGGUAACGGCGCACCAAGCCGACGAUCGGUAGCUGGUUUGAGAGGAUGAUCAGCAACACUGGGACUGAGACACGGACCAGACUCCUACGGGAGGCAGCAGUGGGGAAUCUUAGACAAUGGGCGAAAGCCUGAUCUAGCCAUGCCGCGUGGGUGAUGAAGGCCUUAGGGUCGUAAAGCCCUUUCGCCGGGGAAGAUAAUGACGGUACCCGGUAAAGAAACCCCGGCUAACUCCGUGCCAGCCGCCGCGGUAA